rnacentral:rRNA from 1 species
UUCACCUCUUUUGAUGUCAAAGUGCCUAUGGUACCAGUUCAUAUUUGGUUACCGGAAGCCCAUGUAGAGGCACCUAUGGCUGGAUCCGUCAUCUUGGCUGGAAUUCUUUUAAAAUUGGGAACCUGCGGGUUUUUAAGAUUUUCAAUACCCAUGUUUCCCGAAGUGACACUUUGUUUCACUCCUUUCAUUUAUACUCUAAGCGCGAUUGCUAUGAUAUAUACUUCCUUGACCACCUUAAUACAGAUCAAUCUUAAGAAGAUCAUUACCUACUCCUCAGUAGCCCAUACGAAUUUGGUGAUAAUUGGUAUGUUUAGUCGGGCAGCGGCCAUUAGGUCACCUAUUUUGAGUUAUGGACACACGAGCAAGGCCAAAACAUGUGUGCUGGGCGUGCGACCCAUCAACCUACUAGCAAUAGGGGAGAAAACUUAA